CGGUUCGUGUCCGAUCACCGAAGUUAAGCAAAGGUAGAGCCUGGUCAGUACUUAGAUGAGUAACCGGUUCGGAAUACCAGGUGCUGUAAG